GACGAACGCUGGCGGCGUGCCUAAUACAUGCAAGUCGAACGAGAGCGACCGGUGCUUGCACUGGUCAAUCUAGUGGCGAACGGGUGAGUAACACGUGGGUAACCUGCCCAUCAGAGGGGGAUAACAUCCGGAAACGGAUGCUAAAACCGCAUAGGUCUUCGAACCGCAUGGUUUGAAGAGGAAAAGAGGCGCAAGCUUCUGCUGAUGGAUGGACCCGCGGUGCAUUAGCUAGUUGGUGAGGUAACGGCUCACCAAGGCCGUGAUGCAUAGCCGACCUGAGAGGGUGAUCGGCCACAUUGGGACUGAGACACGGCCCAGACUCCUACGGGAGGCAGCAGUAGGGAAUCUUCCGCAAUGGACGCAAGUCUGACGGAGCAACGCCGCGUGAGUGAAGAAGGUUUUCGGAUCGUAAAACUCUGUUGUUAGAGAAGAACAAGUGCUAGAGUAACUGUUAGCGCCUUGACGGUAUCUAAACAGAAAGCCACGGCUAACUACGUG
rnacentral:rRNA from 1 species